UUGCGUUCCCAUUAUCACGUGACGUCUGACGUCAUCGGUAGUCGAGCGUGAGGACGUUCAUUUUUCCGCCAUCUUGUUACAUCGCAUGGCUGAACACGGCGUGGAUAAACGGGAAUCUAUAAAAUCGGAUGGGGUAACUUUACUGCUGAACAACUUUUCAGGCCAGGUUUUGAAUAAUCCAGGCACAUAAAAAUUAACUCAAUGUGGAAAUGCAAAGACUGUGGUGUCACAAGGCUGACUGUCACUCUAAGUCUGAUAUUCUCUAGAAGAUAUGUGAUGAGAUCUACAAGUAUAAAUCUUAUCCCAGCAGUGCAAACUUUUGUGAAGUUUCAGAGACUCUUAUCAAGAAACAUCCUUGCUUGGCUGAAAAAGGAUCCUUCAAUGGUUGCUACGGGUGGACACAGAGAUUUAAAAUGAAGAUGGGAAACCUACACGCACACAGUUGAAAGGUCUUGGAUGCCCUGAGUUUUUGGCAAAUUCCCUGAAAACCAAAGCCUCAGAUAAUGCUUUUCCAGCAAAAAAAUGUUAAACGACCUAAACGUGGCGAGGCCAAUCAUAUCCCAUACGUACCUGCCGGAUAAAAAAUGACAAAGACGUUUGCCUUACGCAGACGAGAAGUUGUGGAAAACCAACCUAGUGUUCAGGAACUGCAAGAAAGGUGGCCUGCUCUGUUGCUACUAGAGGAGAUUAAUGCUGAUUUUUUGCGCAUCACGACUAUACCUUUACAAUCAAGAUUUUUGGCUUCUUUGGACCGACAGAGCUAUCAGCUUCUCCAGGUUAUUAAGAGCAAAGGUGGAGUUUUCCGUGAAAAAACUAGGGACAAAGUUAAUUUGAAUAUAAUUAAAGUUAUGGAUCAGACUCUGGACAUAGACAUCAGAAGAGAGUGCUGAAGUGCCUUAUCGUGUACCUUGGUGAAGAUGCAAGCUGUCUGAUCAAAGAAUACCAGGCUGACCAGAGGGAGGAAGCGGAGAAAGAAUUUGAAAAGACCACCAUGGCAGUUUUUGAGAUCCGUGAAAGUGAUGCUCUCAGACGUGCAUUGGACAUUUCCAUUGUCAUUGAGGGUGUGGAGGUACUAAAUGAGUUGCCCUCUGUUGCAUGUGCCUGUACCAUGAUGAUUGGACUCAUUUAUGCACUGAACCUUAAAUAUCCUGACGGACUCAAAUAUACCUUUGAAGCCUUUCAGAAAAUAUAUUAAUAGGCAAAUGAGCCGAAGGGUGCAAGACCUCUCUUCUAAGCUUCAGGAGUAACUUUGUUUCCUUUGACCCAGCUACAAUGUUCUGCUGAUGUUGAAUCUUGUUUAAGAUGUUGGACUGUAUAAAAGGCUUUAUACAGAGUUAACUGUUCACUUUGAUUCAGUUGUUUUGGUAAAUUCUAUUAGACGGUUAACUAAACCGGAUUUUUAUUUUUAAGUAGAAUAGUUUACCUAAAAAUAAAAAUUCUUAGGUCGUUUAAUCACCCUCAAGCUAUUAAAGUAUUUAACUUAAUUAGGUUCAUAGACAUUUUAUAAAAAUGAUGAGAGAAGGUUUAUUUUUGUGAACUAUUCCGUGAAGGUGAAUUUUUUUAUUCUACUAUUGGCUAAUUUGGUAGGUGCUUGAUUAAAAGUGGUUGGUUUUAUUAUGCCCAUUUUAAAGUAGUAUUAGGCCAUAUUCACUACACGCUUCUUAUCGUGGCACCUGUCCGUCCAUCUAGUGUUGUCACAAUACCAAACUUCGGUACCAGUCAGUACUAAAUGUGACGAUACUUGCAUUUCCCGCUAUCAUUUUAGAUUAUGAAAGACCUCUGAUUGGCCAUUGUGUUUCCAAGCGAGCGCUUGCUUAACCAAUCCUCGAAAUGCGUCAAAUGAUCAUUGCAUCACACUCUCUACCGAGCGCUUGCACAGAUACACACGGAAGAGUUUGAUUUUGAUACACACAGAAGCAUUUGAAAGUCAAAGCGCUCAUUAGAGAGUGUGAUGCAAUGAUCAUCUCACGCACUCUGGGUUUGGUUGCACAAGAGUUUGGUAAGGACCCAUUCAAAGACAUAUCUGUUGACCUUGGAAACACAAUGGCCAAUCAGAGUUGUUUCAUAAUCUAAAAUGAUAGCGGGAAAUGCAAGUAUCGUCACAUUAAGUACCGCCUGGUACCGAAGUUUGGUAUCGUGUCAACACUGCGUCCAUCCAAACUUGUUUUAACUACACAACAAAACCUUUUCAAUUGUGCUGAGAAGUUAGUUCUAAUUGAUUGUUUGUGGAAAGAUUGUAUGUUCUUCUAAACCUUGAUUCUGAUUCACCUCGAUUUUGAAUUUACAUUGUAAUACAGGGUGUAUUUCUAUACACGUUGUGAAAACUGUUAAACUGUCUGUUGAAAUGUUGUAUUGUGAAAAAAAUUGUCAACGGUUUAUGGUGUGUUAUUAUAGAUAUUAUACACAUUGUAAAAAUGUUGUAUUAUGACACUAACAAAGUGUCAAAAGUUUGACACUUGAAAUAAAA